CGCAUUCAGAAACGACAAACGCUUUGUCAGGAUACGAAAAUUUCGUCUCGCAUUUGUCAACAUGAAGGUGUUCGUCUCCGCAAUUGUCCUUUUGGUGGCCCUGUUGGCCAUCUUCGCCUCGACAGAGGCCAUGCCCGAACCCAAAGCUGACCCCUGGGGAGGCCUGGGCUACGGGUACAGCAGCAUCUACACGCCUUACAGCUACAGUAUCUACAGACCCAUCUCUUACAGCAUCUACAGACCCCUGUAUAGCUAUGGGUAUGGAUGGUGAUCGCUGGAACCUUGUCUGGAAUUGUGGAAUCUAUUGUUUUAAAUCUGUCAGUAUUUCUAAAUAAAUUGGAGCGUUUAAA